rnacentral:rRNA from 1 species
CCUACGGGAGGCAGCAGUGAGGAAUAUUGGUCAAUGGACGAGAGUCUGAACCAGCCAAGUAGCGUGAAGGAUGACUGCCCUAUGGGUUGUAAACUUCUUUUAUAUGGGAAUAAAAUGUUCCACGUGUGGGAUUUUGUAUGUACCAUAUGAAUAAGGAUCGGCUAAAACCGUGCCAGCAGCCGCGGUAAUACGGAGGAUCCGAGCGUUAUCCGGAUUUAUUUGGUUUAAAGGGGGCGUAGGUGGAUUGUUAAGUCAGUUGUGAAAGUUUGCGGCUCAACCGUAAAAUUGCAGUUGAAACUGGCAGUCUUGAGUACAGUAGAGGUGGGCGGAAUUCGUGGUGUAGCGGUGAAAUGCUUAGAUAUCACGAAGAACUCCGAUUGCGAAGGCAGCUCACUGGACUGCAACUGACACUGAGGCUCGAAAGUGUGGGUAUCAAACAGGAUUAGAUACCCUAGUAGUC